CCAAUUGGAGGUGAAACUAGGCACAAAAUGUGCCAACUUUCAUUGAGAAAACAUACCAAAAUUCUGCUUGCAAGGUGACCUAAGAAAAUGACCAAUUCGGAUUAGGUGCAAUUAGGACCUGAAAAAUGACCAAUUGGGCAGCAGUGAGUGUUUAGGCCAUAACUCACUCAAACCAGGUCCAAUUGACCUGAAAUUUUAACCAUGAAUAGUUAAGACCCAUACCUACAAGUCUUAUGAAGACACCAACACCCAAAAAUUACCAUAAGCAAGUCGAAUAGCUUGCACAAUUUCGGGUCCAAAAACUGGCCGAAC
rnacentral:misc_RNA from 1 species